rnacentral:rRNA from 1 species
GCUUUACUGUAGCCUGGAAUUGUGUUCGGGCUUCGCUUGCGCAGGAUAGGUGGGAGGCAUAGAAGUACCCCUUGUGGGGGGUAUGGAGCCAACGGUGAGAUACCACUCUGGCGAGGCUAGGAUUCUAACCUUAACCCGUAAUCCGGGAAAGGAACAGUUUCAGGUGGGCAGUUUGACUGGGGCGGUCGCCUCCGAAAGAGUAACGGAGGAGUUCAAAGGUACCCUCAGCCUGGUCGGCAAUCAGGCAACGAGCGUAUAGGUAGAAGGGUGCUUGACUGCGAGACUCAUAAGUCGAGCAGGGUCGAAAGACGGACUAAGUGAUCCGGCGGUGCUGGAUGGAAAGGCCGUCGCUCAUCAGAUAAAAGGUA